UACGGGGGGGGGCAAGCGUUGUUCGGAAUUACUGGGCGUAAAGGGCUCGUAGGCGGCCAACUAAGUCGGACGUGAAAUCCCCAGGCUCAACCUGGGAACUGCGUCUGAUACUGGAUGGCUUGAAUCCGGGAGAGGGAUGCAGAAUUCCGGGUGUAGCGGUGAAAUGCGUAGAUAUCCGGAGGAACACCGGUGGCGAAGGCGGCUUCCUGGACCGACACUGACGCUGAGGCGCGAAAGCUAGGGGAGCAA
rnacentral:rRNA from 1 species